UGGCGACUAGCUCAAUGGAAGAGCCUCAGCUCGAUGAGCAGGAGGAUCUCAGUUCGAACCUGGAGUUGCCCA
rnacentral:tRNA from 1 species